AGAAAGUUAGUCCAAACAAGACCUCUGAUUUCGGCUCAGAAAAUCACGGUUAAAACCCAUGACCUUCUU
rnacentral:tRNA from 1 species